AACAGCGGCCAUUUUGAAAAUUCCAAAGUCAACCUGCUGCUGCAAUUUGUUCUCACCAUAAUUAUAUACCAUCAUUUAAAAUAAAAUGUCUCUAGAAUAAAUUUAACAUUGAUGUUCUGGAAUGUUCUAUGUUAAACAUUUCGCCUGUUUCCAUGGCAAUGGCAGCCAUUUCUGAAUUUCUAAGUAUUGUUGGUACCUCGGGGCCCCACCACCAACAUUUGCACAAAGUUUCAUAAGGUUGGCUCUUAUAACGAAAGAGUUAGAAUUUUGAUUUUCUUUUACAUUUUUUUAGUUUCCAUGGUAACCGCGGCCAUCUUGCACAUUCCAAAGUCAGGUGCACAACUUCACAUGGUGGACAACAUUAUAGCAUAGUUCCAUCAAGAUUGGUCCAUCCAAUUCCGAGAACUGUCUUGGACAAAAAGUGUGGAAGAAUAAAAAUAAUAAAAAUAAUAAGAAAAACUAGAUUUGUAAUUGCUAGCAAUAACGGAUGGCACCCUUCCCCUCAUUGCCAGGUGAGCGGCAGCCAUUUUGAAAAAGUCGAAGAAUGCAUUUACAGAUGUCUAGUAAACUUUUUGCAAAGUUUCAUUAAGUUUGAAGCAUUUUGAAAUUUUUGAUAUUUUUGCUGUUUCCAUGGUUACGGCGGCCAUUUUGAAAAUUCCAACUUCAAAAUGCAACUCCGCACAUGUCAGUCACUAUUCCUGUUAAGUUUCAUCCAGUUUGCAGCACUUUAUUUUUUUUUGGAAAUUUUGAACAUUUGUGCUGCAACCAUGGUUACAGUAGAUAAUUCCAAAAUUCUAAAAGCGUACAUCUCAUUGCCACAUGUCAUGUUAUAUAUCAAUACAGUUUCAUUUACUUUGGUGCAAUACUCUCUGAGAAAAUGCUGAUUUUAUGCAUUUUUCCAUAGGGUCAAUGCAAAACUUGGCCCCAGUUUCCAUGACAACGGCGGCCAUUUUGAACUAUCCAAAUAUUGUCUUGACAUCUUGGCAUACUGGAGAACAUUUUCAUAAAGUUUCAUCCAGUUGGAUCUUAUAACGAAAGAGUUAGAAUUUUUGAUAUUUUAGCUGUUUCCAUGGUAACGGCAGCCAUUUUGAAAAUUCCAAAGUCAAACUGGAAAUCAGCACAUGCCAGUCAACAUUCCUGUGGAGUUUCUUCCAGUUUGGAACAUUUUGAUUUUUUUCGCAUUUAUGCUGUUUCCAUGGAAACGGCGGCCAUCUUUUACUAUUCCAUACCAAGGUGCACAACUUUACAUGGGGGUCCUCCUUAUAGUAAAGUUCCAUCAACAUUGGUCCAUUGGAUUCCGAGAAACACGACGGACAAAAUGUGUGGAAGAAGAAAAAGAAAAAUAAGAAAAAAAAGAAACGUAGAAUAACAAUAUGUCACCCCAACUCCGUUGAGGGUGCCAUAAAAAGAAACGAACAAUAACAAUAUGUCACCCCAACUCCGUUGAGGGUGCCAUAAUAAUAGGGAAAAAGAAACAGAGGAAAAGCAAUAUGUCACCCGACAUUGUCAAUCGGCUGACAUAAUAAGAAAAAAAAGAAACGUAGAAUAACAAUAUGUCACCCCAACUCCGUUGAGGGUGCCAUAAUAAGAAAAAAAGAAACGUAGAAUAACAAUAUGUCACCCCAACUCCGUUGAGGGUGCCAUAAUAACAUUAAUAACAAGCAC
rnacentral:lncRNA from 1 species